UGGGGAAUUUUGGACAAUGGGCGCAAGCCUGAUCCAGCAAUGCCGCGUGCAGGAAGAAGGCCUUCGGGUUGUAACUGCUUUUGUCAGGGAAGAAAUCCUCUGGGUUAAUACCUCGGGGGGAUGACGGUACCUGAAGAAUAAGCACCGGCUAACUACGUGCCAGCAGCCGCGGUAAUACGUAGGGUGCGAGCGUUAAUCGGAAUUACUGGGCGUAAAGCGUGCGCAGGCGGUUGUGCAAGACAGGUGUGAAAUCCCCCGGGGCUUAACCUGGGAACUGCAACUUGUGACUGCACGGCUAGAGUACGGUAGAGGGGGGAUGGAAUUCCGCGUGUAGCAGUGAAAUGCGUAGAUAUGCGGAGGAACACCCGAUGGCGAAGGCAAUCCCCUGGACCUGUACUGACGCUCAUGCACGAAAGCGUGGGGAGCAAACAGGAUUAGAUACCCUGGUAGUCCACGCCCUAAACGAUGUCAACUGGUUGUUGGACGGCUUGCUGUUCAGUAACGAAGCUAACGCGUGAAGUUGACCGCCUGGGGAGUACGGCCGCAA
rnacentral:rRNA from 1 species